CACAAUGGCGUUCCGUACGUGCCGCGCGCGUCCGCGUCGAGUUGCCCGAAGUCCGAUAAGUGAAUCCCGCGCGCGAAAGACUGUCGAUGUCGCGUCGCCAAGUGUUCUUAGUGAUGCGAGUAUCACGGAUAAUCACCGAAUCGUGUUCGCCGAUCGCGAACGUCUCGUCGGCGAUCCGUUUUUCCGCGUACUUUGGAAGCCCGAAGCCGAUCGUCGCGCAGGUACAGUCAGUUCGGUGUCGAGUUGCAGCGAGAGCUGCCGGGCAGUGCCGGGUGCAUAUUAUUAUAGUGAUCGCCGAUCAUCGCCGUGUGUCACUGCAGAUAUAAACUGUACUUAUAAUAAUAUUCUGUCGGAUGGCGCGAGAUGGCUAUGGUUGUCGUUAUUGUGACUUGUGACGUUAUCGGUCAAGAGUUUUCCAUUGUCGGACGGUAACUCGAACGGAUGGUAAAACGAAACUUUAUUCGGGGAGCGCUGUAAGGCGCAAGCUGCCUUCGGUAUGUCGUCACCGUCAGGCCGGGAAACGGAAAUAUCAGUGCUGGACACGCACGUGACGCACGGUGGAUAACCUCAAUUUUGGAGUUUCAUAAACAUCGCACGUGCAACAGUGAUAUCCAAGAGCGUGUGGAUGUUCGGAGUACGUCAACUCGGUAGUAUGGCUUCGCGUGCCAUUGUCGUUAAACGAAACGACGUACGAUGCAUAAGCUUUCUGAAAAUGAAAGAAAGAGUCCAACGACUAAUGGGCAUGGACUCCGACGAACUGCCAUAUGCGCACAUUUGUCAAGUUGGCGAUCCCGUCUUGCGCGGCCAGGCUAUGAAAGUAGAACCGGAAAUUAUAAGAAUGGCAGAUUUUCAAAAGGUAAUCAAGCGCUUGAUAAAUGUUAUGCGCGCGUAUGAAGCACACGGUCUAUCCGGGCCGCAAGUCGGACUUCCCUGGCAAAUAUUUGCCAUCGAGUGCACGGAGGGGAAUCUAAAGAGGAUCGAGGAAACUGUUAGGAAGGCUCACGAAAUGGAUCUCGUUCCAUUGACGAUUUUUAUCAAUCCUCAAUUAAAAGUUAUAGACCAUACACCUAUCAUCCUUUACGAGGAGUGUGCAAGCAUUCGGGGGUUUUCCGCUGCUGUGCCGAGAGCCUACGAAGUGGAGAUCACGGCAUUGAACGCUGCCGCCGAACAGUUCACGUGGCGAGCACGUGGAUGGUCCGCUAGAAUAGCGCAACACGAAUACGAUCACUUACAAGAAAGGAACCGGAGAAUCGACCAUCCGGAAGACCACCCGGAAUGUCGGAAUGAAGGGAAUUAGUGGGCGGCAUACUUCAUCGCUAUCGGUGCCGAUUUUUCCGCUAAAGGAAUCAGAAGAAUUGCUCCCUCGCCGUUGCCAUUCCGAAAUAAUUGAGGAACAGGGGAUUCGAUCUUAUACAAUUCGGCCCACGGCUGGGACGUCUAUUUGCCGAUUUCUUAUCCGGAAAGAGAAUGGAGUCUGCUGCUGCCGCUGCCGCCGCUGGAUUGUUCGGACGUCAGAGAGGCCGAUGUUAGCCGUGUCCAACUUCGCUAAGGGCGAACCGUUAUUCCGGGAUGAAAUAGAGCUCGUGAGAAUUGCGUAUUUGUCACCCACGUAAUAUAGCGCUACGAAGUGAAGUGUUAUAUACAGAUUCAUUUACGGGCAAGUCUCUUUUUGAGGAUCUUUUAACAAGUGAGUAAAAAAAAAAAAAAACACUUCUUCGCAGAAAAUUAUAAAAUUCUUAUGCUCCUCGCAUACAAUAAUGAGCUAAUCUCAUUAACAGAAUACUUAAAGAAAAUCGAGCAAUAUUUAGCAUUAGUUGUUGCACGUCCAACUUGACGGAUUAAUCUAUUACAAUUAUUAUUACACUAACCUUUAUCAUAUAAACUUUAUAUUGAAGUAACAUCUUUGAACAACGCUUGCCAAAUAUCGCCUCAUUGUAAAAAGGAAGUGAAUAGCACGGCAGUGCGCAAGAGUUAAAUUUUAACAUUGAUAAUCCUUGUUGUCCUUUGUCUGGCUAUAUUUUAUCCAUUUUAUCUCUCGUCUCAAUCGUUGUUCAAUGGCAAGCCCCUUAAAUAGCUUAUAGACAUUCCUAGAGGAACGUUUGAAAUCUGCUCCUCAACUCUUGAGAUCACACACGUCCACCUAAAUUACGUUUCUUAUCAUAUACAUGUAUGACAUACCUUAUACGAGUUGGAUUUCACGAUAUGUAUUAAGACUGCGCGGUACGUUGAGUUCAUUCCAACAUCCGAUCAACAAAAAGCAAAUACCGAUGUCUACUUUCUCUCGCUAUCUCUCGUAAACAUCAAAUUAUUUGAUUGUGAUUGCUUUUAUGCAUAGAAUACGCUAGGAUUUAAUUUUAUAUUUUAAGUAUAAAAACGCGAUUUAACAUUUUUCUCGGUUAUUUAUGCACUUAUGCACACAAAGUGUGAAUGAAUUAUUGAAAAUUUACCGAAUAUAAUUGUAUGUACAGACUUUGUCAACACGAGUUUGAACUUCUUAGAAGAUACUCUUAAGAGGACAUCGCAAUAUUCUUCGUUCUACCAUAAUGAUGGUAUGUAUAUAGUAUACCUCAUGACAAGUAUCAAAAUACAUUCAACAAACGUUUUCUUCAUUGCGUUUAUUUCUUCGUCGAUGAGUUAUAAAAAAUCUUAAAACGCACGAAUAACCAAACAUUUGUGUACCAAAGUAUGUCUCAACGUAACCACAUGCAGAUAAUACAUAUGUCACUUUUAUUUUGUAUAAGAACCUUAAAAAUAAGAGCAUCCACGUCCACAUAAAUACUUGUUAACCGCAUGAAGAUAUAGCGAAAAUGAUGAGUGUUAGUAACAUGAAACGGUGAUUAGUCAAUGAAGAACACGAAGAACAAAUGUUUUCAUGACGAAGAUAAUGUACUAUGUCGUCCCGAAGCUAUUUACGAGCCGUGAUACACAAUGAUCUUACUAGUACGAGUUAUUAUUCGUGAAAUAAAGCGAAAGAUCAACGUCCAAAGCGCGCUAUGGCACUCGAUCUUCAUGCGUCGGUCGUCUUCGGUGUCGUCUAUACCCGCGGUCGCAAUAUCUGGAAUACUCGGAUCAGUUGCUUAUAACGAUAAAGCCCUACUGGCGGAAUAACAUUAUACGGACAAACUUGCGAUGAGAAAUAACCUUUUCCGACUCUCACGAGAAGUAUACACGUAUAAAGGAGGAUGGAUAUACGUGUAUAUCCAGUACGCAAAAUUGUUAGCAAUAUGUUAGCAGAUUCAAAACAGAAUAUUGCAACAGAUCACUAGCAGAAAUCGAGCGCAUCUGUCAUUUCGUAGCCAUUUAAAUAGAAUGUAUCAUUUUUCGGUGGUCAAUCUGCUAUCAUAUUGUGUUAAUUUUCUAUUACACUUUUGUUACCAUUUUGCCAAUAAAAUUGAUAGCCAAUACUUUUCGAUUUGGCUAUCUGGCUAUAUGUACGUGUAUAUAUACAUAUAUACCUAUAUAUGCUUAUAUACAUAUGCAUAUAAAUUAUAUAUAAACGCACACACAUACAUAUUUAUCCAUUUUGUAACAUAUAUCGAAUAUAACAAUACGUACGCAAUAUUGUACGCGCUCACCUGAUAAUACAGAUGUUACGCAUAUGCUCAUAGCAUCAUACAUCAUGUACACCUUCCUUCUUACUCACACAUAUGUAAUUAUUAAAAUGUUAUAUAAAUUAAAUAAAAGAGUGGCGCUAUCUUUCUUUAUUCCCGU